rnacentral:ncRNA from 2 species
UAUUGCACUUGUCCCGGCCUU